ensembl:lncRNA
GUUUUGCACCGUUAAUAUGGAAUAUGUGUAAAUCCAACAAAACGCACAAAUGGUCAUGACAAACGAACGAGAGAUGAAGCGAUUAUAAAAGAAGGGGUGGCAAACGGCAAAGUAUCGGUCAAAUUGAGCAAACAAAAAGGUUAACACAUUCACACCUAGUAAUGAAGGCAAAAUGUAAAACGUCCCAUUCCUGGAUGGGUAGCCUUCUUGAACGUCGAACAGACCGAGGUAGAAAACCGAAAAACCAGUCAGUGUGUCACUGAUGCUAGUGUUUAACAUGAAAAUAAACCGGUUCUGUAUUCGCAGAGACCUAGUGCUAAAUAUGCCUAUCACCACGGAACCAGCGAUGAUCACCGCACUGGUAGCGAAUAAAAUAUGAAAACAAAAGAUUAAAAAGUCCUCGGGGCGUUCAAAGUCAACAGACAGUGGAAUUGUUGCGUUUAAGAACAUGGCGACUCCAUCAUACAACGAGCAUCGAGUCUUUAUUUAUAGCAGAAAUACUGCAUCUACGCUGAGAGUAAUCCUCCGGGUCAAGGCAUUGCCCCCUGAAGUUCGCUUGUUGACAGCGCACCCCAAAAAGGUCCUACAAAGAUGACAGCGAUAUAAAUAGAAUCAGGUGAAGGUAGAGCACAGCACACCCUUUGGUUCGUCAUUUUCCGUUUUCAAAAAACUAUUUUACGUUUCAUUUGAAAGGAGACACUGUAAUUUGUAGGAAUUAUAGAUCAGUGCAGGAAAGUAUAACACAAUAGAUUUGGCAGAAGAUAAAACAAACCAAAAACAUGUUUUUUUUUGUGUAAAUUAAUUAAUGUUUGAAAUGCAGUGGGGAAGGCCAAAAAUGGAGUAGGAAGCUGAAGACACUUCCACUAGAUCCACUAGAUGGCAGCAGUGCUGUUUGGAAAACAGUGUGGAGGAGAAUGUGUCUCAUACGGAAGGGAAGAAUCGGAUAUAACCUCAACAGGCCAGGCAAAGACGGAGGAGCAAUUUUAUGCAUAUCGCUGUUCUUGGGGGCACCUGUGUGAACAAAGAAAUCUGUCUACUCCAGCUCCAGCUCAGUGUUUUUUGACAGUAGCUACUAAUAGAUGGUUAUUUUGAAAAUGUCCGCUCCCCCUUUACAAAUAACAUCCACUUAAUUUUGUAAUUUUGGUAUAUGGAAUGUCCCUUAAAUACCC